rnacentral:lncRNA from 1 species
AACCUAGGGUAAAAUUUAGGGUAUGACAGGUUGUAACUUGGUCGGAUUUCAAAAUAAAAUGUUAUUUCUAAGGAUAUUGAAGCAGGAAUGACCAAAUUUAAUGAAGAGCAUCACAAGCAUUCAUUUUUUUUACAAUUUUCUUAUCUUACUUUCUUUCAACCCCUCAAGAUCUUUUGAUGCAACAUUUUCAUCAUUCAUUUUCAUUUCUUUUCUUUCAUUUUUUUUCUUUUCAUUGCAUCUUUCUUCCCCUUUUUCAUUUUUCUUCUUUUUCU